rnacentral:rRNA from 1 species
GACGAACGCUGGCGGCGUGCCUAAUACAUGCAAGUCGAACGCUUCUUUUCUACCGAGUGCUUGCACUCACUUGAAAAGAGGAGUGGCGAACUGGUGAGUAACACGUGGGUAACCUGCCCUCAAGCAGGGGAUAACACUUGGAAACAGGUGCUAAUACCGUAUAACAACAAAAACCGCAUGGUUUUUGUUUGAAAGAUGGUUUCGGCUAUCACUUGAGGAUGGACCCGCGGCGUAUUAGCUAGUUGGUGAGGUAAUGGCUCACCAAGGCAAUGAUACGUAGCCGACCUGAGAGGGUAAUCGGCCACAUUGGGACUGAGACACGGCCCAAACUCCUACGGGAGGCAGCAGUAGGGAAUCUUCCACAAUGGACGAAAGUCUGAUGGAGCAACGCCGCGUGAGUGAAGAAGGGUUUCGGCUCGUAAAACUCUGUUGUUAAAGAAGAACAGGUGUAAGAGUAACUGUUUACACCGUGACGGUAUUUAACCAGAAAGCCACGGCUAACUACGUGCCAGCCGCCGCCGUAACAC